rnacentral:lncRNA from 1 species
AUUUUUAAUUAUUUAUGGUAUUACUCCAUGGUAUUUUAUUUUUAAAAAUCAUAUUUAGGAUACUACGCAUGUUAUCUAUAUAUACCAUGUUAGAUCUCGUCUCUAUUCACUAUGAGAUCUAGUAAACCUUUGAUUAUAAUUGAGGAAAAAAGAAAGAAAGUAAACCUUUGAUUUUAAGAUGAAGACGAAAUCAAUCCAGCAUCUCAUAAAUAUCACUAGAAAGUUUGAACAGUCUAUCGAAUCAACAGAGUUAGAAAUUUGGGAUAUUCACACCAAAAACUAAAGAGAUAAAUAGGACACUAUUUUAUUAUAUUAAUGACACCUAUUGUUGGAGAUAUAAUCCAAGUCCCACAUCGGAAGUUUGAUGGGACAAUCAAUAAUAUAUAAAGGGUUAGGACCAAUCCACUAAUUGCCAAUUGGUUUUUAGUUGAAAGUCCAGAAUUAGUCCAAAUUUAACAACACCAAACUAUUUGCAGCUUACCGAUUGAACUGUAUAGAUUCCAGUGAAUUUUCUAGCAACAUACACUAAAAACCAAUCCACUAAUUGUCAAUUGGUUUUUAGUUGAAAGUCCAGAAUUAGUCUAAAUUUAACAACACCAAACUAUUUGCAGCUUAUCGAUUGAACUGUAUAGAUUCCAAUGAAUUUUCUAGCAACAUACGUAUAGACAGUUCACGUACCAACCUACUUUAUGAUUUGUUGUAAGCGAAACAACGGACCUGGUCCUGGUUAGAUCAAAGAAAAAUAUAUAUCGUCUGAAAUUCAAGUCUAAACGAUUCUUCUUACAAAAAAAAAAAAAAAGUCUACACGAUUUUUUUGUUCUUUUUUUGGUAUACUCGAUUUCUCAUGCAUGUGAUAGUUUCGAUUUUCUGGAAGUUCUCAUUCACAAAUAAUAAAGUCAUCAAGUUAUCGUAUGUUGCGUGUCUAUUGAUUGUAUGUUUAAAUGUCUAUUGAUACGAGUAAUUUUCUAACAACAUUACAUUUUCCAUGUAAAAGAAACGGACAUUCAAUGACGUAACCUCACGUGCAUGGUCAAACUGAUAACUUGAGAAUACAUUUUACCUAAGACUACUACUGUAUUUGCAAUCUAAACUCUUUGGGAUGGUGAAAUAUUACAUGUAUUACUAUUUAGUAGUCGAAACAUUACUUCAUAAAGAGUUUAGAUUGAUCAUUACUCAAUUCAUUAACAUGUAAUUAUUAGUCCGAAAGAAAGCUUGAUCACUUCCUCAAGACCUCAACUAAAAUAGUUAGUGCAAAAAAAAAAAAAAAUCUUGGAGUCCAAUAAAAAAAGAAAAAGUAUUAUGGUAUUAAAAUAAUAAUUAAUGUGAUUACGUUCCUUUAUUUAAAUAAGUAAGAAAUAAAUAAAACAUAAAGUAUUAAAUAUUUCUGAGUCCAAAACCUCAAAAGAAAGUCUAUAUAUACUCAAACUCUCUCUCUCUCCAAUACUCAAAACUCUCUCAAUCUUCUUUUCUUAACUCUUUUUUAGCUCUCAUGGCUUGUUCUUACGUAUUAACACCAAACCCAACCAAACUCAAUCUCUCCUUUGCUCCCUCCGAUCUCGACGCUCCUUCGCCGUCAUCCUCCGUUAGUUUCACCAACACUAAACAAAGACGUCGUAAACUCUCCACAAACUCCGUCUCCGACACUCCAGCUUUACUGAAUUCCCCAAACUACCCUUCUCCAAACCCCAUGAUUCCCGAAAAGGACACUUCCCGUUGGAACCCUCUCCAACGCGCCGCCUCCGCCGCACUCGACUUCGCCGAAACCGCAUUGCUAAGACGCGAACGUUCUAAACCUCUCCCUAAAACCGUUGAUCCUCGCCAUCAGAUCUCCGGUAACUACGCUCCGGUGCCGGAACAAUCCGUUAAAUCAUCUCUCUCCGUUGACGGAAAAAUCCCUGAAUGCAUUGACGGUGUUUAUCUCCGUAACGGUGCUAAUCCACUCUUUGAGCCAGUUUCUGGUCAUCACCUAUUCGACGGUGACGGUAUGGUUCACGCCGUUAAAAUCACUAACGGUGACGCGAGUUACUCGUGCCGGUUUACGGAAACCGAGAGAUUGGUUCAAGAGAAACAACUCGGUUCUCCGAUUUUUCCUAAAGCCAUUGGUGAGCUACACGGUCACUCCGGCAUCGCACGGUUGAUGCUAUUUUACGCACGUGGUUUAUUCGGUUUAUUAAAUCACAAAAACGGAACCGGAGUUGCUAACGCCGGUUUGGUUUAUUUUCACGACCGAUUAUUAGCUAUGUCUGAAGACGAUUUACCUUACCAAGUUCGUGUCACCGACAAUGGCGAUUUAGAGACGAUCGGAAGAUUCGAUUUCGACGGACAAUUAUGCUCCGCCAUGAUCGCUCACCCGAAGAUUGAUCCAGAGACGAAGGAGCUAUUCGCGUUGAGCUACGACGUCGUUAAGAAACCGUAUUUGAAAUACUUCAGAUUCUCGCCGGAAGGUGAGAAAUCGCCAGACGUGGAGAUUCCUCUUGCGAGUCCAACGAUGAUGCACGAUUUCGCGAUCACUGAGAAAUUCGUCGUGAUUCCGGAUCAACAAGUGGUAUUUAAACUCUCCGAUAUGUUUCUUGGGAAAUCUCCGGUUAAAUACGACGGAGAGAAAAUUUCCCGAUUUGGAAUUUUGCCCAGAAACGCUAAAGAUGCGUCGGAGAUGGUUUGGGUCGAGUCGCCGGAAACGUUCUGUUUCCAUCUCUGGAACGCUUGGGAAUCGCCGGAGACCAAUGAGGUUGUGGUGAUUGGAUCUUGCAUGACUCCGGCGGAUUCGAUCUUCAACGAGUGCGAUGAGCAACUCAACAGUGUUUUAUCGGAGAUCCGGUUAAAUCUCAAAACCGGAAAAUCCACACGCAGAACUAUAAUUCCCGGUUCGGUUCAGAUGAAUCUUGAAGCUGGUAUGGUAAACCGGAAUCUUCUUGGGAGGAAAACCCGGUACGCGUACCUAGCGAUAGCUGAACCGUGGCCUAAAGUCUCAGGAUUUGCAAAAGUGGACCUUUCUACCGGAGAAGUGAAAAAUCAUUUUUACGGCGGUAAAAAAUACGGUGGUGAACCUUUUUUCUUACCGAGAGGGUUAGAAUCUGACGGAGAAGAUGACGGUUACAUUAUGUCGUUUGUUCAUGAUGAGGAGAGUUGGGAAUCGGAGCUUCAUAUUGUUAACGCCGUUACGUUGGAACUAGAAGCAACCGUUAAAUUGCCGUCAAGAGUACCGUAUGGUUUCCACGGCACUUUCGUGAAUUCGGCGGAUAUGUUAAACCAGGCUUAGUAUGAAGUAAACCGAAUCCGGUUCAGGUUUGGUUUAUUGUGCAGAGGCAGAUUUUUGUGAAUACAAAAUAGUCUUUGUUUUCCCGAAGCGGUGGGAGCCAGCUUGAAGCUUGUGUAAGUAGAAGUUUUGCUAAGCUCAGCUGGUUUCUGUUGCAUUUUUUUGUGGUGUAUUAAUAAGAAACUGACAUUUUGUUGAUUAAAUCAGUGAGAGUACAAACAAAUUCUCUUAAAAAUUACUCCGUGAACAUACACAUCAUGACAUAAUCAUCGAUACAUUUUCCCGUAAAUUUUGUGAACCUUUGAUAGAUUAAAUUUUGGAAAAGUAUUGGUUUGAAGUUUGAACUUUCAAAAUGGAUAAGAUAGCCACUGUUUUUUCCAAUGAUCACGCUAUUGUAACCUUGUUUUUUAUUCUCUUUUUUGCCAAAGUUAUUCUUCCCUUAGGUAUUGCCCUUUGUACUUUCCUAAACUUUCAUUUUAUAUGAUAUUUACAAGCUUAGCAAAAAAAAAAAAAAAAAAUAGUUUGGCCACAAGACUCGAAUGAUAAAAUUUCAUUGGCAAAAAAAGAAGAAGAUAAAAUCAUCAUGGAAAGCAAAGAGACAAGAGACUUUGAAAAGCAAGUGUGAUUGGUGAAUGGUGACACUUACUUGGCAUAAGGGUCGUUGUUGUCGUCGGAACAAACAUCAUUAGAGUUAAAACUGUCAAACAAAAUUUUUUUUGCAAAUAAGGCGAGACUCGUUAGUCAUAAGACGGUAUUGCCUAAAAGAAACUAGCUAGUAAGAGAUUAAGUAUCCCAAAAGAUCGUAAUUUAGUACAUUAAUUUAUAAUUUGAAAGAGGUGAUUUGCUAGUCGUCGUUGAUCCAACUGUGAUACAUGAACAAUAUCAAAUAUUUAAAAAUCUCGAUAUAUCAAUAUCAUUCUACCUAACCAAGUAAUUAAAUAGUAGUAUAUGACAAAUCCUAUCGUCCUAAUCUGUAAAAGGUUUUGGGGGCCGCAAUAAAACGAUAUUACCUCCCACACAAAAAAAAAAAAAAAAAAAUGAGACAUCAAUGUCAUUACUUUUAUAUUUUUGCAACAAUGUCUAUUUGUGAAUUUAUGUCAUGGACCGGAUUCGGCUAAGACAUAUAUAUUCUUUUCACUGUUACAAUUUUUACAACAACACAAAAAUUUAUGAUCAACAUUAAAUAAGUUGCCAAAAGCUAUGAACAACAAAAUUCUAUUAUCCUUCUCUUUACCUUAUGUCAUACUUCGAUCAUUUUAUCAUAAAAAGAGUUUUUUUUUUUUUACAUUAGUCCUUAUUUUACACGUAAUAAAUAAACAGCAAUCAAAGAGCGGUGCAUGUCUAGCCUCUAGACCAUCAUCAAGUCAUCGAUUCUUGCCACUAGAAAUUUCAAAAUUAAACACACGUAUAAUUUUUCUUUAAUACACAAAUUUCAAAACGAAGAUAUAUAUAUAUCUCAUGCAUGGACCCUCAAAACAAAAAUCAUUAAUGAAAAGGCAGAUUGUUGCAAAAAUCACCAUGUGUACAAUGACUUGGAGAGUAAGGCAAUCGAAAUAGAUGUCUCUAUGCGGGGACAGUUUGUGCCGACCAUUGUGUGAGUGAGUAAGGACCACAGCUGAUAAGUAACUCACUGGUCACUUUUUGUUUAUAAGAUGAAUUUUCAAUUGUCCCUGUCCUAAAAGUUGUUUUGCUUUUUCUUCAAAACGAUAAACAAAACAAUAAAUUGUCCUGUUUACAGUACUUCAUUACAAAACAAAUGUGUUUUUGGAAGUAUGAACAGUUUCUUUUCUUCGUUCUUUUUUUUGUUCUUUAAUAGUAUUACCCUCUAAAUCUCAAUAGCAUAACGUAUUUACUCUAUACAGAAAUAGAAAUGCUAUCAGAAAGAGGAAAAAAUAGAAAUGGUGAAAAUCAAGAGGGAAAUAUGUUUUUUUUUUGUCAUAUUUAAUCUUGUGGGAAGCAUGAUAGCCAGAUUUUUUUUUUGGUAACUAGGAAACUAUGGGUCGAACUCCAUAUAUACAGUAGUCUCCUUUGGUCCGUUGAUGAUAUUUAUUUUUAGACGUAAGAUCUUCUCUUCCGAAUUAAAAGAAAAAAAAUAAAAAUAAUAAGGAACCCAUAUAGCUAGGUGACUCUAUUGAUCAUGUUAGCGUGGGUUGCUUUAAUUCUUAUCCUUAGGACUGUUUCAGCAAAUAAAUACCAAUUAACGAAGGAAUCAAGGAAGCAUUCUAACUGUCAAUUAAAUGCUCUGUUUUUUUUUUUUUUUUUUGUAAACAAAAAAAAAAAAUGCUCUGUUUUUAAACUUUACCUUUUUCAAGAAGAAAACGCCGUCCAUGAUUUUUUUUUAAAAAAUAUAAAAUGUUUUACAAAUUUUUAUGCAAUUUUUAAUACAUUUGAUAGUUUAUGACUAUUUAUAUUCUGUAAUUUUUUGUAUAACUGGUUGAAUUUUCUUAAAAUAAAAAUAUUGAAUGAUAGCUUUAAAAAAAAAAAUUAAAGUGUGGGCUAAAACAUUCUAUAUUUUGAAACAAAAAGAAUAACUUUUAACAAACAAACAAAAGUUUCUUAGUAACAUAACAACACAAAAUUUUGGCAUGAAGACACAGCGAUAAAUUUGGAUAUAUUAAAAUAAUUGUUUAUAUAAAAUUGCUAUAUAGAUUGAAAAUUUGAAGUUGAAUCAAUUAUAAAUUUGGAUUUUUAAAAAAAUUAGAUAACGAGGUUGAAACAAAUUUACGAAAAGUCAUAAAGUAGAAAUUAACGAGGUUGAAAAUAUUUUGUAGUUUUAAAAUAAUUCGUAGAGCUUUCCUUGAACUACUUGAUAAACUCUUAAAUGGAGAGAAAGUCGAAAUUGCGGAAUGGAAACAAAAAUCAAAAUUUGAUUUGGAUCAACUCGUGAAUUUGCAUAUAUAUAUAUAUAUAUAAUUGUCAGGUGAUAUCCACGUGGAAGAUGAUGAAAAUAAUGGUAAUGAAAAAACAGUAACCUCCAUUGAUUAAAUCACUCAUGCAAUGAAGGAUUUUGUGACGUAGUUCAUAGUUCAUGGAGUACGUAUGCAUCAUAUAUGUAUAUAAAUAUAUAUACAGCCGUCCCCUUUUUUACUGGUUUACUAUGUGCAGCUGAAAUAUUCGAUAAUUUUAAAAUAUGUUUGAAUAAGAAUAUAAAAAUUAUCAAUUCUUUUCGAAUUUGAUCGGGAUCUACUUUUUACAAUUUGAAUCAUAUUGUCUUAUAUCAAGUAGCACUGUUGGAUAAAGCUACAAGACUAAAUUGCGGCAUAUAGUAGCUUUCCGCUGCAAUUUUAACCAAUUCGGAUUAUUUAAUCGUUAAUUUGAUUUUACGGCCGUUUUAUGUGUUAAGCGUUGAAAAUCGAUAUAAAUUCUACAAACCGUUUUAUGUGUUAAGCGUUGAAAAUCUAUAUAAAUUCUACAAACCGUGGAUUAAGAUAAAUAGAUAUACAUGUAAAAAAUUUUAGUCAUUUAGUAUGAAUACUAAAAAAAAGCAUUUACUCUCUGCACGCCAAAGAUCGGGAGAUAGCACAUGACGUCGAACUGAAUAGGGAUUCUGUUGUCUCGGACCAACAUAAGUCCUUUUUUUUUUUGGGUUCAAAACAUAGUCCUUAUUUAAUGGCAAAUGUGUCCCUUUCUUUGACUGCCGCAUGCAUCGUAAACUAUUUUAUUCUAAGUUGAUAUACAACAGAAUAUAACAAAGUCAUAUAUUUUAAAUUAGGGUCGUUGUGUUUGGCGAAAAAGGUCAAAGCGAGAGUUUGUUUUAUGUAUCGGUGGCGUCAGCUUUCUCCGUAUUUUCAUGGACUUCUGAGGGUCACUCACUCCCCAGUCCCCACCUUGUACAUUUCAGAAAUUUGAUUUCAUUCAUGUAACUUUUUGUUAUAUAAUUAGCGUUUGCUGAGGGAAAAAACUAACGUUUGUCUUUAUAUUUUCUUAGAAAUGUUAUCUGAAUUAUUUUUUUCACGUAAAUUUGUGGACAAAAAAAAAAUCAUACAUGUAAAAAACUAAAUCACAGAAAAAAAAAACACUUAUAAGAAAAUCAAAACACAACAUAUAAUCGAUUAGUUUAGUUGGAUCUGAAAAUAUAUAUAACCUUUUUUUUUUGGGACUAAACCAAUAAUCAAUUUAUUAUACAUGAAAAUGAUAUGCAUUUCUGUUAAACAGUCUAUCGUAUUCAGGUGUACAAGAAAAUGAUAAUAAAGUUUUACUGUAAAAAACUAAAAAUUAGUCGAUCGGUAUUAAGAUGACUCAAAAAUCCGACACUAAUGGAAAUUCAAGAGUCGAUAGUUUAGUAAUAUUUUUUUAAUUUAUCUUACGAUUGUUACGUGGAAAAUGAUGGAUCAAACACAAAAUAAAGAGUAAUGGAAUGUCUCAUGCAUGCACUGCAUAUAUACAUAAGACUACAUUCAUCAAUGAAACACGUAAACAACACUGAGAUCCUAUAUUAUAAUACAUAUAUACACAACAGAUUAUAUAGUUCUGCAUGUGGAUGUAACACGUGCCAGUAAACGUGUCAACAGCUUGUUCGACCUCAUGAUCCAUAGGGUUUUCUUUGUACCUGGACGAAGAGGACUAUAGGUCUUAUGUAAACGACUCAUAUACUACUUUGCUUGCCUCUUCGAGUUCCCAUUGUGGCUCUAAAGCAUUUCUUUAUAGUAUUGUCUCUUUAUUAUUAUAACUAAUUAAGGGUUUGAACGAAAUCUUUGUCUCUUUGUAAGUUUAGACGAUGGGACACGUGACAUCUAGAAAAUUGGCCACGAAUCAAUGGGAGAAGCAGCUGGUGAAUCUAGACUUCCAGUGUCCUGGGAACUUGAGUUUCUCCUGGAUCACGACAACAAUUCAUAUAAUAUUCACGAAAAACGCGCAUAACAUCAAAGCUAAUAAUGCAGUUUAUUAGUGAUUCAAACAUCUAAUGUAACUAAGAUCAUCUAAUUCCGUUCUAUUUUUUUCUUUAAAUUUUAUUAUAAUAUAAUAUUUUCUCUAACUUUACUCUAUAUUUUACUUUAAAAUAAAAUAAAUAAUAAGAUUAAUCUAUAUAUAGAAUAACUCUAUUUUUUUUUUUGACAUCUUCGAAUCGACAAGAUCCGAUCCAUAGCCAAUCCCUAUUACGCGGGGUAACGCGAUUUAGUGGAGUCGAACUCCGGUGGGGAAAGCGGAGUCAAGUGAACUUAAUCACUUAACUAAAGGCACAUCUCCGAAUAACUCUAUUUUACAGUAAGAUAUAAAGUGAUAUAUUGAAGAGAAAUCAUAUUCUAUUAAAAAUAAAAGAUAAAGAAUUAUAAUCCCUCUGUUUCAUAAUAUAAGUCGUAAUAUAAGUCGUAAUAUAAGAAUUAUAAUCCCUUUGUUUCAUAAUAUAAUCCCUCUGUUUCCACGCCGAUUAAGAAGAUCUACUUUUUAAAAGUUUAACUAAUCAUAAAAGAGACUUUAUAAUAUAAAUAAUCAUAAAAUAUUAAAGUAAUAUAUAAUUUGCACUGAAACUCGAAAAUGACUUAUAUUGUGAAACAAAAAACUUUAUCCAAAAUUAAAUGUCAUAUAUUAUGAAACAGAAGGAGUAUUAUAGAUGAUCUAACACUGUGUUUUGCAUUUUCGAAAUAACUAUCAAAAUGUUUUAGUCAUAUACUUUUCUUAAUUUAUGUAAAAAUACUAAUUUAUGUAAAAAAUACUAAAAUGAUAUUGUAAAUAUAUGGUUAAGAAUUUAAUAUAUCAAAUUUGAAUUUAAUCUCUUCUAUAGACUAGCUAGAAUUCCAGGUUUUAGAAAUAUUUGUACCGUUAGUUCAAUUGGUUUAGGCAAUAUUCUUAAAUUCGAACUCCAAAAACAACCAGGAUACAUUGCAAAACCUUACAUUAAUUAUGAGAGUUUCACGGUACAAUGUCUAGAAAAUCUUUGUGUUCUAAAAGUUUAAUAUUAGAUCUGAUUGGUAACAUAAAGGUAUACAAUUUUUUUAGCUGUUAGUUGGAGCGGUAAGUUUUUACGGAAUAGUGUAAAACCCGUAAAAGCUGUACAAAACAGUAGUACAUAAAAGCUAUACAAAAAAACUGAGAGUCAAAGUUUUAGUAACGUUUUUAUAUCGUUUUUUGAUUGGUAACUGUUAAAGCGGUAUAUCCUAUCUUACAGCGGUACGGAGAUACCAUUCAAAUCUAUUAGAUAAAAUGGGUACAUGUGGUGUUUAUUUGACGACUGUAAAUUUCGAUUAGUUUUGAAUUUCUGCACCUGAUAAAUGAUUAUCCAACAAACUUUUAGGUCGACAAACUUCUAGACAUACGUUGUUGACAUAGAAUACUCAUUUGUUUGUAAAACAAUAUGUCAGAAAAUAUGACAACAAAGAAUAAAAAAUAAAGAUACGAAAGAUUUUGCGGUUUGGCUCUUGCGAAAAGGUUGGGCUAUAGAGCUCUCUCACUGUCUUUUAUGAACGAAGAAGAGACACAUUUAUACAUUUUUGCUAGGGUUUCAUAUAUGCACCAGUGCUACGUGUACGUUUUAAGGUCAUAACAUAUAUAUAUAUAUAUAUAUAUAUAUAUAUAUAUAUAAAUAUAUACCUCACUAUUAUAUAAACUAUAUAAGUGAACAUAAAACUAUAAUAGAUUAAAUAUAUAUAUAUAUAUAUAUAUUAAAAAUAGAUGAUUUAGUUAUAUAUGUGGCGCAUGGGAUGUGUUCUCGUGGCAGGAAAUUAAAUGCGAGGUCUCAAACUCAAAGCAUAUUCUCUAUUAACCAUCUCCCCCCUGCAGGCUGCAGGUCUCACGUCUGUUCCUCAUUUCCUUUUAACUUAUUCUUCAUUUUUCUAUAUAUACAUAAAAUUUUAUAUAGUCCUUCAUUUUAUUAUGAUUAUUUUUUUAAAGGUUUUCAUGCGUAAUUAGAAAAUUAUUAGAAUGUCUUUCACACUUAUUAUUAAUACACUACGUACACAACUUGAUUUUUCUAAUUAAUAAAACUCGAAUAUUGCGUAAAAGCAUUAUUGAAAAUGUAAAAAGAUAUAUGUGUGUAAAAUAUAAGUUAAAAUGUUAAAUCGUAUUUACUACAAAACAAAGGGAUCAUAUUAAUUUAGAUGGCAUGUACUUAAAACAAAGUAUGUCGACACGAAUGUAAACUCAAAUUGACCAGACAUUAUUGCAAUAGUAUGUCGAUAUGCAUGUAAACACAUAUUGACUAUCGAGAUUUUCUAGUGAUAUGUUUGUGUAGAGUUUAGUCUAUAUAUAUAUAUAGUCAAAACUCAAAAGUUGGCAUUAUUUUCCGAGUGACAUAAUAUAGCAGUUCAAACCUCAAAGAUCACAUGUAUGUUACAUAAGAGCGAACGAAUAACGAUCAUGAAUAAAAACAAAAGUGAACAACUCUUGUUGUUGGAGAACGUCAAAACAAAUCAAACGAACGAAACAAAACUUCGAACGUCAAAAUGUUUUUUUCCAAACCCAAUGUCAAAGCUCAAAGUUCUUUCCCCUGUUGAGAAGCGAUAUAUUUGGAUUAAAAAAAACUCACAAAUGGCCUUAUUUUUACAUAUACCGAAAACAUAAAAGCAACGUACUCUACAGAAUUCACACCCAAAAAAAAAAAACGUACCCAACAGAAUAUAAUUAAAAAUUAAAAAGUACAACAUUUGUAAAUCAUAAAAUAUGAAAAGAUACAUAUCACCGUAAGGUAUUAGUUCCCGCCGCAAUUUAUAUUGAGGUACAUAGUCAAAUUCCAGAUCGAGACGAUAUUGUGCACAAAUCACUAGUACAUUAAUUUGGAAGCCUCUUGCGUGUAUAUUUUAUUCAUCGUUUAUUUUCCACUUAAUCUUUUAAUUCUUCUAAAUAACUAAUAAGUUUUUUCAGAAUUUAUUAGGUGGAUUAUUGUUGAAGAUUCAUAUCACUAAAAGAACAAAACUGAACGAGUUGGGUCUAAAUUAUAACAAAUCAUGCAAAGAGACGGGCAAGAACCAAAACAUAAGACUUUGAAAGACGUAUUGGGGGAAGGCAUGUCCUCAACGACAAACAUAUCAUGUGUUUAAUGGGCCUUUGGGGCCCAAAAAUGUUUUGUUGACGUAAACAUGUCUCAAGAUCAUAUAUACUCCAAACUGCCAUGCGUGACAAGAUAUUGAUUUUAGUGUCUGAAUCCAUUUUCAAUCAAAUAUCCAUAAACACAGCUUGAUGAAGUUGUGUUAGCUUUUUCUUGACCAUUGCAAAUUUUCAACUAACGAUUUUUAAAAAAGUUGAGUUCCAAAACACUCAGCUUUUUCUGGUGAUUAGAACUUGGGAGCACUUUUAUACCCUUUUACAUCAUUCAUGCUUACGGACACCAACUUUCCCUGCAUCUCUUUUCUUGGUUUGAGCUCUCCUGCAAUUGUGUGGUUUCGAAUUCUCCUCUUCAUCGAUGACUUUAGACUUUGGAUCGCAAAAUUUUCUUCUCGUCCUUUUUGCGACCUCAUUUUUCAGGGAAUUGGUACUUAUUAACUUCAGGCGGCAUUAUUAGAAAUAAAAAACUGCUUAGAAUCUUUUGUAUUCCCCACACCUUUAGAAUCAUUAAUGUUAAAAUAACAUUUUUACUUCAAAUUUUCUUAUUAUGAUAUUUUGAAAACCUAAAUAAAAAGAAACAAUGUGGUUAUUAUCUAUAUAUAUACACGUAAAGCUAAAUCUUGGAUACUGCACAAAAAAAGAGUUUCAGGGUCUGAUUGGUUGCUCUAGUUAGCACAAAAAAGGAGCUAAAAAAGAAUUCUGCCCAAUUCAUCUCAUUUUACACCAAUCAGGGUAAAAGCAAAAAGGUAAAAAUUUAGCCAUAUUACGCUCAACAACACAAAAAGCAGUAUAUAUUAUUUAUAUAGCUUGUACAAUUUGUUGAUCAUUAAUGGCCAAAUAAUCCUUGAAUUGUUGUUAUAUGAAAAAAGUUAUUACAUAACUGUCAUUAAAAGAUGCUGCCACGUCAGAGAGAGAAAGUGAGUUUUAAGAGGGAAAAUUUCCCGCCACAUCAAAAGUCUAUUGUUGUAGUGACGAUAGAGUUAAUAGGUUUUGGUAGAUUAUCAUGUUAGAGUAAAUAUGUUGAAUAAGUUAUGUGAUAGAGUAAUAAGGCGAUAGAGUUAUUUGAUUGAGUUAAUUACAUUGGUGGCAGAGUUGAAAAAAACAGAGUUACAUGACAGAUUAUGAUGACUUUACGUUUACUAAAAUAACACCGUGACAGAUUUAACGUAUGUGGUGGCAGAGUUAUGUGACAUGGUAAAAUAAUAUAUUUGUGAGAGAGAGUUUUAUGUAAUGGUGGUAGACUAAAAUAGCGAUUUAGAGUUAUAUGACAGAGAAACCGUAAUAAGUCUGUUACAACAUGGUAGAGUUAAUUAUUUUGACAGAAUUAUUUUUUAACACUGUCAUAAAGAAGCAGAGUAACGGUUUACUCAACUAGCACAUUUGGGCGUUUUUUUUGGACGUAUGUGGUGAUAGAUUUAUAAGAAAUUGUUAGCGAUUAGAUUUAAGUAGGGCGAACAUAACAUUAUGAAUAGUCGAUUUUACCCUUUAAAAAAAAAUAUUACAACAUUUUAUUUUUUGUGGGGUCCUUGACAACUAGAUAUUGUACAUAGUUGUAUGUAGAUGUCUUGUUGUCCUGAUUCCUUCAUAGUUGAACUAAAUGAAAUUUCGUCAUUUUGAAGUUGAACCUUGAAAUCGAAAAUAUAAAUCUAGUUGGUCACAUUAAUUUCUACAUUACAUCGGUUUUUAAGAAGUUUUGAUAGGAAAAUAUUCAGGAAAUAAUAGUUUCACUACUUAUUGCAUCAAUAUAGGUCAUCAUGAACUAAAUGUUCCUUGUUACACAAAGAGUGAUUUGUGUAAAAACAAGUUUAUGAUCAAAUAAAUUAUUAAAAAUUUAUAUAUUAUAUUUGAAAAUAGAAAAUGUAAAAAAAUAUUAAAGUUUAAAGUUUUAAAUAUUAAAAAUCACUUGUUACGAUUUCAUUUUUAAAAUGGCAUAGAUAUAAUUUUAAUUUGAAAAAUCACCUGUAUUCAUCAAGUUACAUACAUUUGAUGUGAUGUAUUAAAGAACUCGGAAAGUUGGCUGCGAGGAAGAUCUUAGAACUUGAUCUGAAUGAGCAUGCAGCUUAUAUACAGCUCUCAAACAUAUACGCUAGUGCAGGUUUUCAAUGUCCAAAAUGGUCGAAUCACCAAUCCAGCCAUCAUGAUUCCACAGGUGAGUAACAGUCAAAACAGAUAUAUAAGAGUUAAUUGCUCAUCAUAUUCUUUAUCAUUCCAUUUCAAAGCUUUAAGCCUAGCAUCUUGGCAUUGAGGCCUUGAUACACUAAUCUUCCAUUUUUCCAUCGUUCCUGUAGUCGUAAUCUCCUCCAAGGAAGCAGCUAAAGAAGUUCUCAAGACUCAUGACCUAGAGACUUGCACCCGACCUAGGAUGGUCACGUGGAUUUUAUCGCUUUUCCGGAAGAGAAACAUUCACACACAAAACCCAGAAGGGAGAAGGAAAAAAAUAGCUUGUAGUUUGUAGUUCACCUCUAUCAGCCUCUAGGCUCUGUUUGUUUGUGACCUCAGUUCCAUGACUCAUUAAAACUUGGCAAAAUACAAGCUGAUGGUUUUCAUUUGCAUUGAUGUCAUUAUCUCUGUGUAGGUAUUCAAUACAUAUGGUUUGAUGGGUUGGCUUUAGCUCGCAGUGGAUGAUCGGAUCUGGUUUACAUUCAUGGAGGUAGUUCAUGCCUCUAGCAAUAUCAAGAGCAAAUCUCAGAGCUUUUCACUCUGACGUUUUGAAAAUUCCUCUAUUUUUCUUUUUCUUUCUUUGCAUUAUUGGUGUCUUUUCUCCGUUGUACCCUUGAGCUUUUAUGGCUUGUGACGGUGACACUGUUGAAAAGUCACAUUUAAUUUAGCCCCUUGAUUUCUUUACCCUUUUGACCAAAGGAGCAUUGUUUAAAGCAUCGACUGUUUCAUGAUAUCAAUGUUUGUAAGAGCAUCGACCCAUGUUUGUGACCAUAAUCCGACAUCGUUUUGACUUUUACGAGCUAGAUGGCUUUGUCGUAGCCAUUACCAUGACACAAGCACAAGCAUUUCGCUUGUCAAAAGACAAUUCAUGAUCAGUCAGGGGCUUUCAAGGCUCUUAUUCUAAAACGAUGUCGUAUAUCGCCACAAUUAUGUCCAUUCCGUUUCCAUCUACUUUCACUCUCAAAGCUCCGGUGAGUGAUACUUGCAGUGUCCCUGAGGUUGGUCUCUGGAAAGUCGCCUGGUAAAGAGAAAUAAAUUAUACAACUACUGAUUAAUAUUACAUGUGUAAAGUUCGCCAAAAACACCAAUUAUGUAAAGAGUGACAAAGCCAAUGAAGGAAGAGUGAGCCACAUUAUUCUGUUAUGUCAAGAACUCAUUGAUUUUGUGACCAGAUAAUCUUAUAACACAAUAUCAACAAGAACAUGUCGUUGAACCAAAAUUUCUCAUAGAUGUUGUUUAGUCAAGGUUCACCAAUAGUUGCAAAUUCUAAUGCUAUAGAAGCUUCCUGCAUUCAUAAACCUACCUCCCUGUCAUAUACCCGAUAACUAUCUAGAAAGCAACCACAUUAACCACACUUUUAGCAGAGACAAAACCCCUACAAAAGCAAUGUACUCAUAAAUGUCUAAUGAAUAUGUUGAGACAGAGAAAGACCAUCAGCGACCAGAAUAUAACCCCUGUAUCUAAAGAGAACUCUUCGAUUUACUAUACUAAACAUUCACAAGACUCACGGGCAAGCGAUACUGCAAAUCAUAUUCAUAGAACACAUUGUUCUAACACAGAAUCAUAUACAAGAACAUGUUCAUGUUCUUGAAUCUGCAUGCAAGAAGCAAAAUUCAUAACUGAUGUUAGAUUCACUUGGAUUCCUAUACACUUAGAUUGAAAUCACAUAAACAAGAGCUGAAAUCUAUCAUAAAUCUAAUUCCUCCACAUCAAGAUCAUCAUCACAAUCAUCUAAAAUAUUAAGAAAACUCACCCGGAAAGCUGGAGAAGGAAACCUAGGCGCUUCGGAGAUUGAUUUUAACAGCGUCUCUUCCUCGUUUCCGAUCAAUUGAGAACGGCCUUGAACUACAAGCUGCGGAGUAAACAUCGUACCCAGAUUCAACGCCUCUACAUACGCCUUUUGCCUCACCGUCCAUUGGCUCGAUCCAUACGGUCUUCUCUUCCGAGAGUUGUUCUAAUUGUUCCCUCAAUGUAGCAAGGCUCAGUGAAGCAUAGACAACUUUGGCAACUUUUAAGUGUUAUUUGAGUAAGACACCUCUCCACGGGUGCUAUCUAAGUAAUUAAGUCACUUUAGGUGUUAUUUGAACACAUUUCCUCUUUUGGUUUUCACCUUUUUACUCUUCUUUUCACUAAUCAGACUCUCACAUGUAUUUUUCAUCUUGGUCUCUUAGCUAGCUUCUACAUUAUGUUUAGGGUUCGAUUAUCAAAGAAUUAAUACAAAUAUUUACAGAUUAAUAGAAGCAAGUUUAAUUAUGAAGAUAUUUAGUGUGGUGCAUGUAAUACUAUUCGUCGUUGUCCAAUAUAUUAAAAAUAAAAUUUUAAUUAUAAAUCUGAUGUAGGUAGAACUGUCUAUUAUGGAUUUUUUGGUUGGAGGUAAAAUCGUUAGUUGUAAAACUAUUUAGAGAACCGCUCACCAUGAAUAAUUGUAUAAAUUAAAAUAUUUUCAAAUGAUAAGAAAAUUAAAAUCAUCGUUGUUGAUUAUCGAAUCACACAAGUACGAAUAAGAACACGGGAUCUCAAGGGAAGAAAGAAGAAUCUCUUAUUAAAGGACGAGCCGACGAUUACAAUGGACGAGCCGGAUUAUUAAAUCAAUGAGCCGAGCCGCAAAGUUUUCUGAAACGGUUAUUUCGGGAUCCCUUUCCAAUCAUUCUACUUUCCUUUUUAUAAGGUACAGGCGUAGGGUACCCUGUACCGUUGAAAUGUCCUUUUUGCCCUUAUGGUCAGUGCUUCAAUUUGUAUUGGACUUGGGCCUUUUGCUGUACCAAGUUUUUACCGGACCGGGCUCUUAAAAAUCAUUUCUUCGGCCCGUCACAUCGAUCUGGAGGCCCAGAGGGGGAUUUUUGGGCCCAAGCCCAAAGUUCACCAUCAACCAUCGUUGUAACAAAUAACAAAAAUCACACUCUAAUUUUGAUUUAAAUAGAAAACUCAUGGCGUCUGUGUUCCUUAGAUUCAAAUUUUAAUUUAUUUUUGUGGUGGAAGAGAUCAAAUUUAAAGUAAAAGGUUUUCUCGUUAAUGGUGAUCUUUUGAUGAAACAAGUAUCAACUGCUGCAUGUAAAACCUUUUUUUUUUUUUUUUACUACAAGUGAUGUAUUCUUGAUCAAUUUUUGGAGUCUCUAUGAGAUUAUCCACAACUUUAUUUGUAGAAUAACCAAUGGAAGAUCUUGAAACUUCAGAAGAUGGUAAAUUUAUCAAUAGUUUAAAUUUUCAUUUUUAAGAAUGUUUUAAUUUGUUUAGAAACUAACAAGUUAUUUUUAUGUUUUGCAGUAGAACUGAAAUAUGGUGUAAAAGUGUAUCUAUUCCAAUGAAAGAAUACAAGUAUUUACAUAAGAGAGACUUGUCUAUCCGAGAUAAGACCGUAUCUUAGUAAAUCUAGAUAUAUAGAAUAUUAACAUAUAUCCUAAUCCAAUUUGAACUUUCCUCCAAAUAGUAAUUCUAUGAAAAAUGAACCAAUUUUACUUUCUAAAGAUAAAUUAGGGUAGUGUUUAUUUAACUAGAGAAAAAAACAGAGAGAGAGAUGGUGGCAGAUUUAUUCAUGAUCCGUGAUUGAGUGCAAAGACAAAUUAUAAUAAUACUGUUUUUGUCGUAAAUAAUAAUGACAAAAAAAAUCACCACAAAUAAAAUAAAAUAAUCAUUAAUUCACUAUUAAGUCAACUCCCUGGCUUCCCCACCACCGCACGUUCGUCUCUCUGUCCACUCAUUGACUCCAUCCCCAACCUUUUCUACUCUAUCGUGCGCCUACAUUCCUUGGUGCUAACUUACUUUCCACCUCAUUUCACUAACGUACGCUGCUCUCCUUUUAUAUCAUUACCUUAUAAUUUUUCUAUAUCAUUUUCUUAAAAGAUUAUUUCUUUUUCCCAACUUGCUAAUGUAUUCUUUUAUUGUUGUCCUUAUCACAAAGUGUCAAUGACAUCACACUUUUUCCACCGUCAAAUACAACUUUUCUAUUUUUGCAAAUACAUAUUUUCAAAUUUGGAAUUAAUAUUUUUCCUCUGCAAAGUCAAAUAAUUUUACAUUAGAAGUUAAACAAUCUUUUGUCAACUAACUUGAAAAUUUCAACUAGGUCAUUUAUAUAAUAAAAAAAAAAACGUUGACAAAAAAACUGUAGUUAAGCGUUUAUUAAUUACCACACACCAAAAACCAAAAAUACCUUUUAAUUUGUUUUUGUCUUGACAUUAUAUUAUACACGUGGCAGCUGGAAUUAUGUUAAAAUAAGUCGUCGGUGGGCCCGACCCAAUACAAACAGUUAGAAUAAGAUGCCAAAUAGUCAGAGCUGAUAUUACAAAACGGCAUCGUUUUAGACCGAAUCCAGUUCUGUAUAUAUAUUAUGUAAAAGAUUUAUACGUGUGCUUUGUGUUUGAAAGAAAAACACACACACAUGUUCUUCGUUGCUGCUUCGUUGGGUUAAAAACUUUUUUUUUUUUUUUCUUGCUUUUGCGAAGUCAAAGAUAAAAAAAAUAAACAAGGUUUGUUUCCUUUGUUCGAUGCUGUUUCGUUUUUGUUUCUCAGAUCUGUAUGUUCUUGAUUUGUUUCUAUGUGUUUGUUCUCUAAUUCUGUGUUUUGAUUAAAUUGACCAACUCUGAUUAUGAUUCAUGACUCUUUAUCUUUUUAUUUUAGUUAAAAUUAUUCUUUGGAUUUGUAAGUCGACUUAAGAGUGGAAAUUGGAAACAUUUCUGUCUUUGACCAGUGAAUAGAAAUUGUUUUUAGUUUGUUUUCUUCGAUCCAAAACAAUAGAGUAGUUAGGUUUUGCUUUGCAAGAAUCUGUCGAAAUUUUAUGAUCUGCUUGUAAAUAAGUAAAAGAGUGUAGAAACAUAAACACUUUUGGGUUUUGCAAAGUACAUAAAAACAGUAAGCCAACAAUAAUGAUUGCUAAAAAUUCUUGUAAUUAUCAUAAUCUGCUGUUAAAUAAUGGUAUUAAGUGGUAAUUGGUUUCAGCAGAAUGGAGAAUCUACCUCCUGGUUAUCGUCCCAAUGUUGGUGUUUGUCUAAUCAACUCGGAUAAUCUGGUAACAUUUCAUCAUUUUAUUAAGUUCUCUGAUUAAUUUACUGUUUUUGCCACUGGUAAUAGUACUAAGUUUAUUGACCAUGAUUAUAAUUCACAGGUAUUUGUAGCUUCGAGAUUGAAUGUUCCUGGAGCAUGGCAGAUGCCUCAGGUGUGUUUUAAUCACUCACUUUGACAUGAAGUUUUGCGAGUUUUCGACAUUUUUUCUCUGUUUCUAUGUCUUUUAUUGGCCACAAAGCCGAUGAUUCAAAUGGUGUUGUACUUUUGUUGUUUAGAGAAAACGUAGAAAAUUAUCAAUGUUUAACACCAUUCUAAUGAAAAAGAUGAUCAAGAAUUUGAUAAAGAAUCUUUUCUAGAUUGGUGAAGUAAUCAACAGUUUCAAAGUAUUGAAAGAGUCUUGAGACUGUUUUCUCUGCUUUGCAUUUAUCUUGGGUUUGUAUAGCUCACUAAACUGAGGAUAUUACAGGGAGGCAUUGAAGAUGGGGAAGAUCCAAAGUCAGCAGCCAUGAGAGAGUUACAAGAAGAGACUGGUGUCGUUUCAGCUGAAAUCGUCUCUGAGGUCACUACGUUUAAUCAACACUUGAUACAACAAACCGAUAUGAAUCAGAAUAUUUACCAAUUAUUCUCUCUGGUUCUUUUGUUGUCUAAACAGGUUCCAAAUUGGUUGACAUAUGACUUCCCACCUGCAGUAAAAGCAAAGGUUAACCGUCUUUGGGGCGGUGAAUGGCAUGGUCAAGCUCAGAAAUGGUAAAUCUACGAUACCACCUAAUUUCGCAAAAGAAGAGAAUGUGGCUCAUUGUUCUGAAACUUAAUGAAUCCCACAGGUUUUUAGUGAGACUGAGAAACGAUGAGGACGAAAAAGAGAUCAAUCUAGCGAACAACGAAGCGGAUUCAGAGUUUGCGGAGUGGAAAUGGGCGAAACCGGAAGAAGUGAUAGAGCAAGCAGUGGAUUACAAAAGGCCAACCUAUGAAGAAGUCAUCAAGACUUUUGGUUCCAUCUUGAACGAUACAGGAAGAGCUUCUAAAUGUAAAUCAGCCAAGUGGUAAUAUAAGAAACCAAGAAUCAAUGUUUGUCUUUUUAUUAUUUUUUGUUAACUGUUGUUUUUCUUUUUUUGGGGGGUUCUUUUUAGUAGAACCCUUUUGGAAUGCAAAAAGCUUUCUCUAGGUGUUUAUUACUUUUCAUUUUUGUAAAUUGGUUAUUGGUACUAGAAGGUUUUUUGGUUUUAUUUUAACGUGGAGUUAUUGUAAUAAAGUCGUUGUUUGGAUUCAGAAAGAAAUGAGUUGUGUAUGUGUUUAUAACUAAGUGUAAAGAAAAUUCUAAGGUUAAAAUUUAUUGUAAUUAGCACCAUGAAUAUAAAGAUCUUUGUUUGGGAUUGAAGUGGGAGAUAAAAUUAACAAACAAACAUUCUGAGUUACAAAACCGUAUUCCAAGACACAACAAAGGAGACAAACUUUAACAUAAACAAACCAUCUUAGACAAAUUCUUUAAGAACUAAACUAAGGAGAAAGGAAUUGGAGAGGUAAAUGAUAAUUAACGGUUCAUUGGAUAAAUAUGAAUUCACUGGCAAAGCUGCUCGACAGCGGUCACGAUCUGAGCCGGUUGAACCACUGUCCACUCCUCCAGUGUACCAGCGUAUGGUGUAGGGACGUCUUGAGAAGAUAAACACAUCACCGGAGAAUCUAAGUAGUCAUGAAAGUUCUCGUUGAUAGCAGCUGUAAGACUUGCCCCAAUCCCACCGGUUCUCAUACACUCCUCCACGAUCAAAACCCGGUGUGUUUUCUUUACUGAGUUUCCGAUUGUGUGAAGGU